rnacentral:rRNA from 1 species
GACUGGUGGAGCGCUUAGAAGUGAGAAUGCCGGUAUGAGUAGCGAAAGAGGGGUGAGAAUCCCCUCCACCGAAUGCCUAAGGUUUCCUGAGGAAGGCUCGUCCGCUCAGGGUUAGUCGGGACCUAAGCCGAGGCCGAAAGGCGUAGGCGAUGGACAACAGGUUGAUAUUCCUGUACCACCUCCUCACCAUUUGAGCAAUGGGGGGACGCAGGAGGAUAGGGUAAGCGCGGUAUUGGAUAUCCGCGUCCAAGCAGUUAGGCUGGGAAAUAGGCAAAUCCGUUUCCCAUAAGGCUGAGCUGUGAUGGCGAGCGAAAUAUAGUAGCGAAGUUCCUGAUUCCACACUGCCAAGAAAAGCCUCUAGCGAGGUGAGAGGUGCCCGUGCCGCAAACCGACACAGGUAGGCGAGGAGAGAAUCCUAAGGUGAUCGAGAGAACUCUCGUUAAGGAACUCGGCAAAAUGACCCCGUAACUUCGGGAGAAGGGGUGCUCUGUUAGGGUGCAAGCCCGAGAGAGCCGCAGUGAAUAGGCCCAGGCGACUGUUUAGCAAAAACACAGGUCUCUGCGAAGCCGUAAGGCGAAGUAUAGGGGCUGACGCCUGCCCGGUGCUGGAAGGUUAAGAGGAGCGCUUAGCGUAAGCGAAGGUGCGAAUUGAAGCCCCAGUAAACGGCGGCCGUAACAAUAACGGUCCUAAGGUAGCGAAAUUCCUUGUCGGGUAAGUUCCGACCCGCACGAAAGGCGCAACGAUCUGGGCACUGUCUCAACGAGAGACUCGGUGAAAUUAUAGUACCUGUGAAGAUGCAGGUUACCCGCGACAGGACGGAAAGACCCCGUGGAGCUUUACUGCAGCCUGAUAUUGAAUGUUGGUACAGCUUGUACAGGAUAGGUGGGAGCCUUGGAAACCGGAGCGCCAGCUUCGGUGGAGGCAUCGGUGGGAUACUACCCUGGCUGUAUUGACCUUCUAACCCGCCGCCCUUAUCGGGCGGGGAGACAGUGUCAGGUGGGCAGUUUGACUGGGGCGGUCGCCUCCUAAAAGGUAACGGAGGCGCCCAAAGGUUCCCUCAGAAUGGUUGGAAAUCAUUCGCAGAGUGUAAAGGCACAAGGGAGCUUGACUGCGAGACCUACAAGUCGAGCAGGGACGAAAGUCGGGCUUAGUGAUCCGGUGGUUCCGCAUGGAAGGGCCAUCGCUCAACGGAUAAAAGCUACCCCGGGGAUAACUGGCUUAUCUCCCCCAAGAGUCCACAUCGACGGGGAGGUUUGGCACCUCGAUGUCGGCUCAUCGCAUCCUGGGGCUGUAGUCGGUCCCAAGGGUUGGGCUGUUCGCCCAUUAAAGCGGUACGCGAGCUGGGUUCAGAACGUCGUGAGACAGUUCGGUCCCUAUCCGUCGCGGGCGCAGGAAAUUUGAGAGGAGCUGUCCUUAGUACGAGAGGACCGGGAUGGACGCACCGCUGGUGUACCAGUUGUUCUGCCAAGGGCAUCGCUGGGUAGCUAUGUGCGGACGGGAUAAGUGCUGAAAGCAUCUAAGCAUGAAGCCCCCCUCAAGAUGAGAUUUCCCAUUCCGCAAGGAAGUAAGAUCCCUGAAAGAUGAUCAGGUUGAUAGGUCUGAGGUGGAAGUGUGGCGACACAUGGAGCUGACAGAUACUAAUCGAUCGAGGGCUUAACCA